rnacentral:rRNA from 1 species
CAGUAGCCGCGGGAAUACAGAGGGUGCGAGCGUUAAUCGGAUUUACUGGGCGUAAAGCGUGCGUAGGCGGCUUCUUAAGUCGGAUGUGAAAUCCCUGAGCUAAACUUAGGAAUUGCAUUCGAUACUGGGAAGCUAGAGUAUGGGAGAGGAUGGUAGAAUUCCAGGUGUAGCGGUGAAAUGCGUAGAGAUCUGGAGGAAUACCGAUGGCGAAGGCAGCCAUCUGGCCUAAUACUGACGCUGAGGUACGAAAGCAUGGGGAGCAAACAGGAUUAGAUACCCCUGUAGUCCCUGUCUCUUAUAC